rnacentral:rRNA from 1 species
UGAGCAAUCUGCCCUUCUCAUCGGAAUAAGCGUUGGAAACGACGUCUAAUGCCGAAUACGACCUCCUUUCGCAUGAUCGGAGGUGGAAAGCUCCGGCGGAGAAGGAUGAGCUCGCGGCCUAUCAGCUAGUUGGGUGGGGUGAUGGCCCACCAAGGCGACGACGGGUAGCCGGCCUGAGAGGGCGACCGGCCACACUGGGACUGAGACACGGCCCAGACUCCUACGGGAGCAG